rnacentral:rRNA from 1 species
UUCGGAAUGACGGUCUUGUGACUGAGUGGCGGACGGGUGAGUAACGCGUGGGUAACCUACCUCACACAGGGGAAUAACAGUUAGAAAUGACUGCUAAUACCGCAUAAGCGCACGGUACCGCAUGGCACUUAUGUCAAAGAUUUAUCGCUGAAAGAUGGCCUCGCGUCUGAUUAGCUAGUUGGUGAGGUAACGGCCCACCAAGGCGACGAUCAGUAGCCGGACUGAGAGGUUGAACGGCCACAUUGGGACUGAGAUACGGCCCAGACUCC